rnacentral:rRNA from 1 species
CCUACGGGAGGCAGCAGUGGGGAAUAUUGCACAAUGGGGGAAACCCUGAUGCAGCGACGCCGCGUGAGGGAUGAAGGAUCUCGGGAUGUAAAGCUCUAUCAGAAGGGAAGAAGAUGACGGUACCUGAAUAAGAAGCCCCGGCUAACUAGGUGCCAGUAGCCGCGGUAAUACGUAGGGGGAGAGCGUUAGCCGGAUUUACUGGGAGUAAAGGUAGCGUAGACGGCGGUGCAAGCCAGAUGUGAAAGCCGGGGGCUCAACCCGGGGACGGCAUUUGGUACUGUGUGGGUGGAGUGUCGGAGAGGCAGGCGGAAUUCCUGGUGUAGCAGUGAAAUGCGUAGAUAUUGGGAGGAACACCGGUGGCGAAGGCGGCCUCCUGGACGAUAACUGACGUUGAGGCACGAAAGCGUGGGGAGCAAACAGGAUUAGAUACCCGAGUAGUC